rnacentral:snoRNA from 1 species
UCUGUCCUAGAGGCAUUGCAGAUGUGGCUGUUGUGUCACAUGUGUGUCAGUAGGUGGCAGAGAGUAGAGAGCCUAGGUUUACACUCAGUGUUCUGGGAAUGAUUAGUAGCCUAACAUU